rnacentral:tmRNA from 1 species
GGGGGUGAAAGGGUUCGACUUAAGAUAUGUCGGAUAAAAGCAGCAUGCCGCGGAAGUAAGGUUAGCCGCGUUAACAACCCUUACACAAUUUAAACGCAAACACGCAAGUGUCACGUUUAGGAACAUUUGUCACGCCGAGUUUUGCGGCGAGGCCUAUGUUCGUACCAGCCUUCGGACUUAAUUAAGUCUGGAGCCUCUAACUGUCCUGCCUACGGGAUAGAUUAGGGCCUAAGUAGGAUAGUCCCGGCGGUUAGCCUUCCAAGCCGGGGCGAAAUCGAAAAGGCUGCUCUUUGCAAAUCCUGCCAUGUAGAAGUUGCAAGGUUAAGAUAAAUUACAAGGCUAAGCAUGUAGUGGCUUUUAUUUGAUUACUUAAGGACGGCGGUCCAAUUCCGCCCACCUCCACCA